GACGAACGCUGGCGGCGUGCCUAAUACAUGCAAGUAGAACGCUGAAGAGAGGAGCUUGCUCUUCUUGGAUGAGUUGCGAACGGGUGAGUAACGCGUAGGUAACCUGCCUUGUAGCGGGGGAUAACUAUUGGAAACGAUAGCUAAUACCGCAUAACAAUGGAUGACACAUGUCAUUUAUUUGAAAGGGGCAAAUGCUCCACUACAAGAUGGACCUGCGUUGUAUUAGCUAGUAGGUGAGGUAACGGCUCACCUAGGCGACGAUACAUAGCCGACCUGAGAGGGUGAUCGGCCACACUGGGACUGAGACACGGCCCAGACUCCUACGGGAGGCAGCAGUAGGGAAUCUUCGGCAAUGGGGGCAACCCUGACCGAGCAACGCCGCGUGAGUGAAGAAGGUUUUCGGAUCGUAAAGCUCUGUUGUAAGUCAAGAACGAGUGUGAGAGUGGAAAGUUC
rnacentral:rRNA from 1 species